UACGAAGGGGGGCUAGCGUUGCUCGGAAUCACUGGGCGUAAAGGGUGCGUAGGCGGGUUUUUAAGUCAGAGGUGAAAUCCUGGAGCUCAACUCCAGAACUGCCUUUGAUACUGAAGAUCUUGAGUUCGGGAGAGGUGAGUGGAACUGCGAGUGUAGAGGUGAAAUUCGUAGAUAUUCGCAAGAACACCAGUGGCGAAGGCGGCUCACUGGCCCGAUACUGACGCUGAGGCACGAAAGCGUGGGGAGCAAACAGG
rnacentral:rRNA from 1 species